rnacentral:rRNA from 1 species
AUUGAACGCUGGCGGCAGGCCUAACACAUGCAAGUCGAGCGGAUGAGGGUAGCUUGCUAUCUGAUUCAGCGGCGGACGGGUGAGUAAUGCCUAGGAAUCUGCCUGGUAGUGGGGGACAACGUUUCGAAAGGAACGCUAAUACCGCAUACGUCCUACGGGAGAAAGUGGGGGAUCUUCGGACCUCACGCUAUCAGAUGAGCCUAGGUACGAUUAGCUAGUUGGUGAGGUAAAGGCUCACCAAGGCGACGAUCGUUAACUGGUCUGAGAGGAUGAUCAGUCACACUUGAACUGAGACACGGUCCAGACUCCUACGGGAGGCAGCAGUGGGGAAUAUUGGACAAUGGGCGAAAGCCUGAUCCAGCCAUGCCGCGUGUGUGAAGAAGGUCUUCGGAUUGUAAAGCACUUUAAGUUGGGAGGAAGGGCAGUAAGUUAAUACCUUGCUGUUUUGACGUUACCAACAGAAUAAGCACCGGCUAACUUCGUGCCAGCCGCCGCGGUAA